CAAAAACAUGUCUAUUUGAAGAUAUAAAAAGUCUAACCUGCCCACUGAUAAAAGUUUUUAAAGGCCGCAGUAUUUCUGACUGUGCAAAGGUAGCAUAAUCGUUAGUUUUUUAAUUGAAAUCUUGUAUGAAUGGUUUGACGAGAAAAAAUCUGUCUUUAUAAUUAUUUAUUGAAUUUAACUUUUAAGUGAAAAGGCUUAAAUAAAUUAAAAAGACGAUAAGACCCUAUAAAACUUUAUGUUAAUUAAUUAUUUAGUAAAAUUUUAUUAUAUAAAUAUUUAGUGAUUAAUUAUUAUUUUAUUGGGGUGAUAGUGAUAAAAAGAUUAUUAACUGUCAAUUGAUUUAUGACAAAAAUUAUUGAAUAAAAUUUUUAUAAAUGAUCCUUUUUAAAGAUUAAAAGUUUAAGUUACUUUAGGGAUAACAGCGUUAUUUUUUUUGAGAGUUCUUAUCGAGAAAAGAGUUUGCGACCUCGAUGUUGAAUUAAAAUAUCUGUAUAAUUGUAGCAGUUAUAUAAGAAGGUCUGUUCGACCU
rnacentral:rRNA from 1 species